CUAAUCCACUUGAAAAUCCUUCUUUUCUCUUGCGUUGAGAAGAAACCAAGAAGCGAAAAUCGGCACCGUUCCCGUCGCCGCCUCGUCGCCUCCGUCGCCCGUCUUCCUUUUCCGCCGAUUCGUGCCCAGCCGCGCCCACCACCACCACUCUCCUUCCCACUGGCUAGGGUUUUCGGUUUCUAGAACCUCACGCCCACCCGCCCGCCCGCUCCAUGCAAGCCCCGCCGCUCGCCGCGCUCGCCGGAGGCGCCUGGGCCUCCCAUCGACCUGCCAUAUUAGCGGCGCCGGCGAGCCUCCGCCGUCCUAGGCGCGGCGCCCUCCGGCUGCCCGCGUGGAGAGCGGCCGGAGGCGGCCGGGCCCCGCGGCUCCCGGCCAAGGGCGCCGUGCUCGCCUCCGACACGGGGGCGGACGAGGAGGUCGCCGGGCCAUCGCCCCUGCUCGACGUGCGCAGCGAGCAAGAGUUCGUUCUACGCGUCAGGAAGGAAGUGGAGAGAGGGAAGUUGCGUCCGGAUGUUGCUGACAACUUUGAAAACCUGUACUACAAUUACAAGAAUGCGGUCCUACAAAAUGGGGAUCCAAAUGCAUAUCAGAUCAUGCUUUCCAACAUGAUGGAUUUAUUUGACCGCGUUCUGCUGGAUGAAGAGAAUCCAUUUACGUUUCAGCCUUAUCACAAGGCCAUCAGAGAACCGUUUGACUAUUACACUUUCGGUCAGAACUACAUUAGGCCACUGGUAGAUUUUAGGAACUCUUAUGUCGGUAACAUUUCUGUAUUCAGUGAUAUGGAGAAGCAGCUUCGGCAGGGUCAUAAUAUUGUUCUGAUGUCUAAUCAUCAGACAGAAGCGGAUCCAGCAGUUAUUGCCUUGUCACUUGAAAGAAGCAAUCCGUGGAUUAGCGAGAACAUAGUUUAUGUUGCUGGGGAUAGGGUUCUUACAGAUCCUCUUUGCAAGCCAUUUAGCAUGGGAAGAAACCUCCUUUGUGUGUACUCAAAAAAGCAUAUGAAUGAUUUUCCUGAGCUAAUUGAGAUGAAGAGGAGGGCAAACACUCGAAGUCUCAAGGAAAUGGCUUUGCUUUUACGUGGGGGUUCACAUAUAAUUUGGAUAGCUCCAAGUGGCGGUAGAGACCGUCCUGACCCUUUGACUGGAGAAUGGCACCCGGCGCCAUUUGAUGCAUCUGCAGUGGAUAAUAUGAGGAGGCUUCUGGAGCAUUCUGGCGUUCCUGGACACAUAUAUCCAUUAUCAUUGCUAUGUUAUGAGAUUAUGCCUCCACCACAACAGAUUGAGAAAGAGAUUGGUGAGCAAAGGGUGAUAUCCUUCCAUGGUGUAGGCUUGUCAGUAGCUGAAGAAAUAAAGUAUGGGGAUGUUACUGCUCAAUCUCGGAAUGCUGAUGAGGUGGUACUGACCAAAACCUGCGACGCGUGGUCCCCAGGCAACCUUUAGACCAAGUCGUCGCUCGCAGCCGUGUAGAAUAGAGAGGUUCCACACCAUACAAAAUGAGCAAGGGGGAUAUUCUCAGAGGCUCUGUACAAUUCAGUUGUUGAUCAAUAUAAUGUCCUCAAGUCUGCUAUCUUUAGAGACCGUGGAGCAGUUUCGUCAAACCCUGCCAUCUCACUCUCGCAACCAUGGCGAUGAUAAGCUUUCUCAGGCCUGAAUUUCUCAUUUCUUUUCGACAGAGCAGAUGAACUGCUAUAGUGCAAUGUUGCGGGUUUUUGCUGGGAAGGCCUUAAACUUUGAUGUCGUCACAGUUAGGAUGAGGCUGCGACAGCGGCCCUGCAGACCCUGUAAGUUGUUGAAGUGGCGUGAAGGAAAAACCGUGUGAUAUGCUGCUACACCGUGUUCAUGUAGUGACAAGAACUCUGCGGCUGUUGUCAGUCUAAUCCUAAAUAGCACGGCGGAACCCGGCAGCAGAUGAUGCAUGUGUUCAUCUUUUGUGAAGAGCUACUGCUGUAUGAGGUGGCUAUCAUCUGGGCCAGAUUGGUCCAGCAAAUAUAGAUUUGGUCCCUAGAUCCUGGCAGGCAGUCGGCUCGAUUUUCUUUUUGUGCUAAAAGUUAACUCGUCUUAUUUUUUGAUUUGUUUCGUGUACAUAUUAAUUCUUUUGCUCCAAAAUUUGGAGACACAUGACAUGAUAUAUACAUACAGAGCCCAAUAUGUGUCGCCUUCCUA